GAUGAACGCUGGCGGCGUGCCUAAUACAUGCAAGUCGAGCGAACAGACGAGGAGCUUGCUCCUCUGACGUUAGCGGCGGACGGGUGAGUAACACGUGGAUAACCUACCUAUAAGACUGGGAUAACUUCGGGAAACCGGAGCUAAUACCGGAUAAUAUAUUGAACCGCAUGGUUCAAUAGUGAAAGACGGUUUUGCUGUCACUUAUAGAUGGAUCCGCGCCGCAUUAGCUAGUUGGUAAGGUAACGGCUUACCAAGGCAACGAUGCGUAGCCGACCUGAGAGGGGGAUCGGCCACAUUGGAACUGAGACACGGUCCAGACUCCUACGGGAGGCAGCAGUAGGGAAUCUUCCGCAGUGGGCGAAAGCUUGACGGAGCAGCGCCGCGUGAGUGAUGAAGGUCUUCGGAUCGUAAAACUCUGUUAUUAGGGAAGAACAAAUGUGUAAGUAACUAUGCACGUCUUGACGGUACCUAAUCAGAAAGCCACGGCUAACUACGUG
rnacentral:rRNA from 1 species